rnacentral:rRNA from 1 species
CCUAGGGGCACGAACCGGAUUAGAUACCCGGGUAGUCCUAGGUGUAAACGCUGUGAACUUGGUGUCGGGAGUCCGCAAUGGGCCCCCGGUGCCGGAGUGAAGAUGUUAAGUUCACUGCCUGGGGAGUACGGUCGCAAGGCUGAAACUUAAAGGAAUUGGCGGGGGAGCACUGCAACGGGAGGAGCGUGCGGUUUAAUUGGAUUCAACGCCGGAAAACUCACCAGGGCCGACUGUUAGAUGAAGACCAGCGUAAUGAGCUUGUCGGAUUUUCAGAGAGGUGGUGCAUGGCCGUCGUCAGUUCGUACUGUAAAGCGUUCUGUUAAGUCAGAUAACGAACGAGACCCUCAUCUCUAUUUGCUACCUGUCUCUCCGGAGGCGGCGCACUAUAGGGAGACCGCUGGUGUUAAACCAGAGGAAGGCGAGGGCAACGACAGGUCAGUAUGCCCCGAAUGUCCUGGGCUACACGCGCGCUACAAAGGACGGGACAAUGGGAAGCCAGGCCGAGAGGCCGAGCUAACCCGAAACCCGUUCGUAGUUCGGAUUGAGGGCUGUAACUCGCCCUCAUGAAGCUG